UCGCUGCCCGCGACGUUGUGAGAAGUCCACUGAACCUUAUCAUUUAGAGGAAGGAGAAGUCGUAACAAGGUUUCCGUAGGUGAACCUGCGGAAGGAUCAUUG
rnacentral:rRNA from 1 species